rnacentral:rRNA from 1 species
CUGGNCUUGACAUCCACAGAACUUUCCAGAGAUAGGAUGGUGCUUCGGGAACAUGGAGACAGGUGCUGCAUGGCUGUCGUCAGCUCGUGUCGUGAGAUGUUGGGUUAAGUCCCGCAACGAGCGCAACCCUUGUCCUUAGUUACCAGCAGGUUAAGGUGGGCACUCUAAGGAGACUGCCGGUGACAAACCGGAGGAAGGUGGGGAUGACGUCAAAUCAUCAUGGCCCUUAUGGCCUGGGCUACACACGUGCUACAAUGGCUGGUACAGAGGGUUGCAAAGCCGCGAGGUGGAGCCAAUCCCAUAAAACCCGUCCUAGUCCGGAUCGCAGUCUGCAACUGGACUGCGUGAAGUCGGAAUCGCUAGUAAUCGUGGAUCAGAAUGYCACGGUGAAUACGUUCCC